CACGUAGGGCGCAAGCGUUGUCCGGAAUUAUUGGGCGUAAAGAGCUCGUAGGCGGUCUGUUGCGUCCGCUGUGAAAACUCGGGGCUUAACCCCGAGCCUGCAGUGGAUACGGGCAGACUAGAGGUAGGUAGGGGAGAAUGGAAUUCCCGGUGUAGCGGUGAAAUGCGCAGAUAUCGGGAGGAACACCGGUGGCGAAGGCGGUUCUCUGGGCCUUACCUGACGCUGAGGAGCGAAGGCGUGGGGAGUGAACAGG
rnacentral:rRNA from 1 species